rnacentral:rRNA from 1 species
AACGAACGCUGGCGGCAUGCCUAACACAUGCAAGUCGAACGGGAUCCUGGCUUCGGUCAGGUGAGAGUGGCGGACGGGUGAGUAACGCGUGGGGACCUGCCCAGUGGUGGGGGAUAACUGCGGGAAACUGCAGCUAAUACCGCAUGAGCCCGAGAGGGGAAAGAUUUAUCGCCAUUGGAGGGGCCCGCGUUCGAUUAGGUAGUUGGUGAGGUAACGGCUCACCAAGCCGACGAUCGAUAGCUGGUCUGAGAGGAUGAUCAGCCACACUGGGACUGAGAUACGGCCCAGACUCCUACGGGAGGCAGCAGUGGGGAAUAUUGGACAAUGGGGGGCAACCC